UACAGAGGUCUCAAGCGUUGUUCGGAUUCAUUGGGCGUAAAGGGUGCGUUGGCGGCGCGGUAAGUCGGGUGUGAAAUCUUGGAGCUUAACUCCGAAACUGCAUUCGAUACUGCCGUGCUUGAGGACUGGAGAGGAGACUGGAAUUUACGGUGUAGCGGUGAAAUGCGUAGAUAUCGUAAGGAAGACCAGUGGCGAAGGCGGGUCUCUGGACAGUUCCUGACGCUGAGGCACGAAGGUCAGGGGAGCAAACGGG
rnacentral:rRNA from 1 species